AUUGAACGCUGGCGGCAGGCUUAACACAUGCAAGUCGAACGAGUGGCGACCGGGUGACUAAUGCUUCUGAAUCGGGCUUAUGGAUGGGGAUCACGACCGGAAACUGUCACUAAUACCGCGUAGCAUAGCCUGGGCCCAAGUGGGAUUAGGUAGUUGGGUGGGUAAUGGCCUACCAAGCCGCCGAUCUCUAACUGGUCUGAGAGGAUGACCAGCCACACCGGGACUGAGACACGGUCCGGACUCCUACGGGAGGCAGCAGUGGGGAAUAUUGCGCAAUGGGGGCAACCUGACGCAGCCAUGCCGCGUGAGUGAAGAAGGCCUUCGGUUUGUAAAGUUCUUUCGGUGACGAGGCGUUAAUCACAGAAGAAGCACCGGCUAACUCCGUGCCAGCAGCCGCGGUAAUAC
rnacentral:rRNA from 1 species